GGCAACUUGGGGGUGGGGGGAGAGGGUGGGAGCUUGUUCAGUCAGGUUUGUUACGGAGAUGAUGAAUGCCUACUCAUGAAUGCACCUUCUCUCCUUGUGCAGAGGGACGUGGAGGUGCAUGGCUGAACUCUGUGAUGGUGCCAGAAGUCUGAGAGUGCUCAGAUCAUGCGAAGCUCUGGGAGAUGCAUCCGUGAGCAACUACUGAACAGUGAUUUAGAGCAACCUUACAGUCAGGGAGUUCCUACACUGCUGCUGUCUCUGAGGUGCCCUGUUCCCAAACAGCUUUUCUUCCUUCUCAAGGCCCUUUGGGCUGAACCCUUCCUCCCUGUACAGCAUCAAACCCCAAAUAUUCUUGCGUAUCCCUCCCGCUGCGGCCAAGUAGCUGGGGCUUUGUGAAAGCUGCUGCUUCAGUGGUGGUGAUAGCUGCUGGAAUGACUCGAAGUGCACUCAGGAGAGCGUUGCUGCCAGCUGCAUCGCUGGCUAGUGGGGCUGCAGUGGGUGCUCAGCACCCUGCUCGUGUGCUUUGGUGCUGUUGUUUUUUUUUCCCUAGGUCAGAGCACAGACGCCGGUGACUAAGGAUGCACCACGCCACUUAUCACCUGCAGUCAGCCUCUCUUGGAGAAAAAAAGAAUGGAGAGGAACGCGGAUCUAUGAUUCAGCUUUGUGUUUCAAGAGAGGAGACAGGGAGGGUGAAGUUUCGUUCUCCUGCUGUGGCUGGGAGAAAUGGGUGAGUUGCUCCUCGUUUUUCUCUCUCCUGUGACGAGCGUGGUGUGCAUCAGAGCAGUUGGUUGGAAUAGCCUCUGAAUGCCAUUUGUCCUUUGCAGGCAGGCGCUUAAAUUGAUUGCUUUGGGUUAAGGAUGCUUCAGACUAGUUAACUUCUUUUUUUUUUUUUUUCCAGCAGGACAAAAAUAACCACUCACAGAGAUGGAAGGUAGCUAGGGGCUGAAUUCAUCAAGGGAGGAAUUGAAUACCUGCUACUGUCCCAGUCAGGAUGAAGUCGGUUUGAUGCUGUUCUGUUUUUCUCUCAAAUUAAGCGCUGCAUCCAAAUUAUUCAUCAGCAGCACCCUCCAUUCAUCACAAAUUCCAGCUCAUCUCAGCUGCCAGCAGAAGGUCUUUUUCCUGUGCUUGUUAAAUACAGCAUAGGAGCAGGUACUGUUACAGCUUCUGGGAAGACGUUGGGGAAAUAAAUGCACAGGUGUGUUUAUCACAAGGAAUAAUAAGGGAGCUCCGGAUGCCUGUCACCGAGCAGCUAUCUACGGGCAGCCAACAUGCAGAUGGGGCAGCUCUAGGGAUGCAUCAUCUGAAGGGGGCAUGGAGCGGGUUGCAUUAAGUGCCUUGUCUCAGCAGGGGCUCAACAUGAGAUAAGGAGAACAGAUCUGCCAACCCAUGCGUGCAGCCAGGGUGGGAGGGAGCGACAAGCCAGAGCCGAUUCCCCAGCAUCAGCUGCUGGAAUCUGUUUCACAAAGUGCCCAUCCUUGCGUGAUCCUGAUUCGUCAGCCAGAACUGCUCCCUUGUGCGGAGGGCUCAGCUGCUGCCUUCUCCUCAAAGGAGCCUGCUUCUGUAGCACACAAGACACGCCGGUGUAUCUGCAUUCUAUUUGCAAAGCAUGAUACAGGUACUUGCAGCCAAAAUGUAAAGACAGCCACGUGCCCUGGCUGAUGUUGUGCAGGAACAUCAUCAAGAGUUGGAUGUGAAAAGAGUCGUGGCAGAUUCCCCGAGCCCCUGGUGCGCCGGCUUAUUGCACCGAAGGCAGGAGGCAGCCCCUCCUGCUGCUUGCACCAAGGACGUGAGCAAAGAACAAAUCCCAGGCUGGCAGGAGGGGAUCGCUCCUUGGGCACAGGUCAGGUGCUGCCCUGCAUCACUGCUCGCACUGCACUCAGUGCCUGCUGCUUUUAGGGCAGGAGGCUUCCCACUGCCUGGUGGCUUUGGGUAUUUCUGGGUUAUUUGUGUGGUUCUUUUUUUUUUCUGUUUGUUUGUUUCCAGUUCACUUUUUUUCUUAAUGGAUAGAGCUGCUGGGGUUCCAGGAAGCGGCGCAGCUAAGUGUGGCUUUGGGUUACCAGCUGGACACAGGAGGUGCCAACUCGAAGCUGAAAAUGGAUAUUCUUCAUUUCCCCCCAAGCUGAACAACAUUUGUUCUGCUAAAUUCAUCCCUUUCAAAUAGAGAUGGGCCUGCUGGACGUAUAGAUUGCCCUUUAUGUGAACGACAGCAGCGCAGAUCAGCUGCCUUGCUAUGGCCAUCUCCUUAGACAUGGUGCCUCUUGUUUCAUAGAGUCACAGAACGGUUGGG